CAGGUGUCAACAGCGGCGGCACAUGCAGGCUAUCAUAGCUGUACAGGAGGACAUGGAUAACAUCAUUAUUCCUUCAAAACUGCAGAGGUGCAGUCAAGAGUGGCCAGACUCCUGAGGAACCUGAGUCAUCCACCAAUCACAGAUGAGCAAAGCCAAAUAUGGGAAUUUUUCUCCUUUAAAAAUAAUCACUGCAUCCUUAAAUUUCAAUGAAACAAAUGAUUCUUGUAUUAUAUUGUAAAUAUUAAUGCUAG